rnacentral:rRNA from 1 species
CCCUUCGAUGUCCUGGGCUGCCCGCGCGCUACACUGAUGAAGUCAACGAGUAAUUGAAAAGAAAAAUUUAUUUUUUUUUUUUUGAACCUUGGCCGGAAGGUCUGGGUAAUCUUUUGAAACUUCAUCGUGCUGGGGAUAGAUCAUUGCAAUUAUUGAUCUUCAACGAGGAAUUCCUAGUAAGCGCAAGUCAUCAGCUUGCGUUGAUUACGUCCCUGCCCUUUGUACACACCGCCCGUCGCUACUACCGAUUGAAUGGUUUAGUGAGAUUUUCGGACCGAGCGAUAUUAAUAUUGGCAACAGUAUGUAUUGUUUGGGAAGUUGAUCAAACUUGAUCAUUUAGAGGAAGUAAAANUCGUAACA